rnacentral:lncRNA from 1 species
UUAGACAGACGGGGCAAUCCACCAAGUAUCGAACAUAAGCCCGACCCCGUCCGUCGUCCUUAUAGUUGCAACAUAAAUAAAAUAUUCAACUCCUAUAACUCGCGAGUGACAGAAAAUCACUCGACUUUUACCGAGACCUAUUAAGCAUUGCAACUACUUGACCUUAGCAUCUAGUAUUCAAAUCAAGGUACUAAGUUCAUGCAUCUACGGU